rnacentral:rRNA from 1 species
AGAGUUUGAUCCUGGCUCAGAUUGAACGCUGGCGGUAUGCUUUACACAUGCAAGUCGAACGGCAGCACGGGGCAACCUGGUGGCGAGUGGCGAACGGGUGAGUAACAUAUCGGAACAUGUCCGGAAGUGGGGGAUAACGUAGCGAAAGUUACGCUAAUACCGCAUAUGCCCUGAGGGGGAAAGGGGGGGAUCGCAAGACCUCUCGCUUUCGGAGUGGCCGAUAUCGGAUUAGCUAGAUGGUGAGGUAAAGGCUCACCAUGGCGACGAUCCGUAGCUGAUCUGAGAGGACGACCAGCCACACUGGAACUGAGACACGGUCCAGACUCCUACGGGAGGCAGCAGUGGGGAAUUUUGGACAAUGGGGGCAACCCCGAUCCAGCCAUACCGCGUGAGUGAAGAGGGCCUUCGGGUUGUAAAGCUCUUUCAGCCGGAAAGAAAUCGUGCAGGUUAAUAACCUGUAUGGAUGACGGUACCGGAAGAAGAAGCACCGGCUAACUACGUGCCAGCAGCCGCGGUAAUACGUAGGGUGCGAGCGUUAAUCGGAAUUACUGGGCGUAAAGCGUGCGCAGGCGGUUUUGUAAGACAGACGUGAAAUCCCCGGGCUUAACCUGGGAACUGCGUUUGUGACUGCAAGGCUAGAGUGCGGCAGAGGGGGGUAGAAUUCCACGUGUAGCAGUGAAAUGCGUAGAUAUGUGGAGGAAUACCGAUGGCGAAGGCAGCCCCCUGGGUCGACACUGACGCUCAUGCACGAAAGCGUGGGGAGCAAACAGGAUUAGAUACCCUGGUAGUCCACGCCCUAAACGAUGUCAACUAGGUGUUGGGGAAGGAGACUUCUUUAGUACCGCAGCUAACGCGCUAAGUUGACCGCCUGGGGAGUACGGUCGCAAGAUUAAAACUCAAAGGAAUUGACGG